GAUAAACGCUGGCGGUAGGCCUAACACAUGCAAGUCGAACGGCAGCACAGGAGAGCUUGCUCUCUGGGUGGCGAGUGGCGGACGGGUGAGGAAUACAUCGGAAUCUACUCUGUCGUGGGGGAUAACGUAGGGAAACUUACGCUAAUACCGCAUACGACCUACGGGUGAAAGCAGGGGACCUUCGGGCCUUGCGCGAUUGAAUGAGCCGAUGUCGGAUUAGCUAGUUGGCGGGGUAAAGGCCCACCAAGGCGACGAUCCGUAGCUGGUCUGGGAGGAUGAUCAGCCACACUGGAACUGAGACACGGUCCAGACUCCUACGGGAGGCAGCAGUGGGGAAUAUUGGACAAUGGGCGCAAGCCUGAUCCAGCCAUACCGCGUGGGUGAAGAAGGCCUUCGGGUUGUAAAGCCCUUUUGUUGGGAAAGAAAUCCAGCUGGCUAAUACCCGGUUGGGAUGACGGUACCCAAAGAAUAAGCACCGGCUAACUUCGUGCCAGCCGCCGCCGUAA
rnacentral:rRNA from 1 species